CCCAUUUAGGUCACCACAGAACAUUGAGUAGAGUUCCCUGUGCUAAACAUGCUUGAUGCUGGCUCUCUGCUGGGACCAUAGGUGGAGCUGCUGUCUGGACUGCCACCUUAGGCAGAGGUGUUUUGUUGUGUGUGUGGUCAGGACCUUCUCAGCACCCUGGUCCCUUUAUCCAUGAAGUGCUUGAAGAAGGCAGAGAAUUAAGGACUUUCCCAGACCAUAAAUUGUCCCAAGUAUAACAUUGGUGGCCCUUCCUGUUUUGCAUGUAUUUCAGUGUUCCUGUAAUUUAUUUAAAUAGUUGU